CGGCGGACGGGUGAGUAACACGUGGGUAACCUACCUAUAAGACUGGGACAACUUCGGGAAACCGGAGCUAAUACCGGAUAAGAUAUCGAACCGCAUGGUUCGAUAGUGAAAGANGGUUUUGCUAUCACUUAUAGAUGGACCCGCGCCGUAUUAGCUAGUUGGUGAGGUAACGGCUCACCAAGGCAACGAUACGUAGCCGACCUGAGAGGGUGAUCGGCCACACUGGAACUGAGACACGGUCCAGACUCCUACGGGAGGCAGCAGUA
rnacentral:rRNA from 1 species